rnacentral:rRNA from 1 species
CAUUAAAGAAAUAAUCUCGAGGGCCUUCGGAAAGGAGAGAGGGUUGUAGCUGGCGUAAGCAACGUGCACGCCCUCUUUCUCGACCUGGGUCCUUAUGGGCGCGGGGCGACCCGCGUCUUCAUAAGCCCCUUCGUGUAGAAAGUCUAUGAAUGUUUUUUUACCAUCAUCGACUCGCGACUUCUAGGAGACGCGAUUCUUUGAGACAAAAGUUUAUUACAACUUUCAGCAAUGGAUCUCUUGGCUCUCGCAUCGAUGAAGAACGCAGCGAAUCGCGAUAUGUAAUGUGAAUUGCAGAUCUACAGUGAAUCAUCGAAUCUUUGAACGCACCUUGCGCUUAUCGGUGUUCCGAUGAGCAUGCCUGUUUGAGCGUCAUUAAAUUCUCAACCCCUCUCGAUUUGCUUCGAGAGGGCGCUUGGAUUGUGGAGGCUGCCGGAGACCUGUUUUUCAGGACUCGGGCUCCUCUGAAAUGUAUUGGCUUGCGGUCGACUUUCGACUGUGCAUGACAAGGCCUUUGGCGUGAUAAUGAUCGCCGCUCGCCGAAGUGCACGAACGAACGGUCUCGUGCCUCUAAUCAGUCGACGCCUUUUCGAAGGAGUCUUCCUUAUCGACGUUUGACCUCAAAUCAGGUAGGAC